CCUACGGGUGGCUGCAGUGGGGAAUAUUGGACAAUGGGCGAAAGCCUGAUCCAGCCAUGCCGCGUGUGUGAAGAAGGCCUUCGGGUUGUAAAGCACUUUCAGUGGGGAAGAAAGCCUUGGGACUAAUACCCUCGAGGAAGGACAUCACCCACAGAAGAAGCACCGGCUAACUCCGUGCCAGCAGCCGCGGUAAUACGGAGGGUGCGAGCGUUAAUCGGAAUUACUGGGCGUAAAGCGCGCGUAGGCGGUCUGAUAAGCCGGUUGUGAAAGCCCCGGGCUCAACCUGGGAACGGCAUCCGGAACUGUCAGGCUAGAGUGCAGGAGAGGAAGGUAGAAUUCCCGGUGUAGCGGUGAAAUGCGUCGAGAGCGGGAGGAAUACCAGUGGCGAAGGCGGCCUUCUGGACUGACACUGACGCUGAGGUGCGAAAGCGUGGGUAGCAAACAGGAUUAGAUACCCCAGUAGUC
rnacentral:rRNA from 1 species